rnacentral:rRNA from 1 species
AGAAACUCAAAUGAAUUGACGGGGGCCCGCACAAGCGGAGGAGCAUGUGGUUUAAUUCGAUGAUACGCGAGGAACCUUACCUGGGCUUAAAUGCUUAAUGACGUACUGGGAAACUGGUAUUUCUUCGGACAUUUUGCAAGGUGCUGCAUGGUUGUCGUCAGCUCGUGCCGUGAGGUGUCGGGUUAAGUCCCAUAACGAGCGCAACCCCUAUUGUUAGUUGCCAUCAGGUCAUGCUGGGGACUCUAACAAAACUGCCCGCGUAAGCGUGGAGGAAGGUGGGGAUGACGUCAAAUCAGCACGGCCCUUACGUCCAGGGCUACACACGUGCUACAAUGGCCGGUACAGAGCGCAGCGAGGCCGCGAGGCGGAGCGAAUCGCUUAAAGCCGGUCCCAGUACGGAUUGGAGUCUGCAACCCGACUCCAUGAAGUUGGAAUCGCUAGUAAUCGCGCAUCAGCAUGGCGCGGUGAAUACGUUCCCGGGCCUU